UACGAAGGGGGCGAGCGUUGUUCGGAAUUACUGGGCGUAAAGGGCGCGUAGGCGGCCCCUUUUGUCGCGUGUGAAAGCCCCGGGCUCAACCUGGGAGGUGCGCGCGAAACGGGGGGGCUUGAGUUCGGGAGAGGAGCGUGGAAUUCCCAGUGUAGAGGUGAAAUUCGUAGAUAUCGGGAGGAACACCGGUGGCGAAGGCGGCGACCUGGGUCGAGACUGACGCUGAGGCGCGAAAGCGUGGGGAGCAAACAGG
rnacentral:rRNA from 1 species